UGGGUAACCUGCCUCAAAGAGGGGAAUAGCCUCCCGAAAGGGAGAUUAAUACCGCAUAAUAUGUUUAGGUCGCAUGACUUUAACAUCAAAGGAUUUUCUUUUAGAAAUUCCACUUUGAGAUGGACCCGCGGCGCAUUAGCUAGUUGGUGAGGUAACGGCUCACCAAGGCAACGAUGCGUAGCCGACCUGAGAGGGUGAUCGGCCACAUUGGAACUGAGACACGGUCCAGACUCCCUAGGGACGG
rnacentral:rRNA from 1 species